AUGGGGUUGCAGGCUGUGCUGCUGACCUCUGCCGCACUGACUGCGGAGGUCAAUACUUUGAAGCAAAGCCUCGAGCGGUCCGAGAACGAGCUCGGCCAUGCCAAGAAGCAGCUCGAGGACAAGGAAGGGGCCACGAACGAGGUGGCGACCCUGAAGGAGGCGGUGUCCGCGGCCGAACAUAAUGCGGCCGUGGAGGACACUGAGCGAGAGAAGCAGGAGGCGCGGGUGGCGGAGGUACAGCAAGAGCUCCAGGCUCUCGUGGAAAAACAUGAUAGUUUGGAGCGCGACUCGAAGACUCGAGAGUCCGAGCUUGCUUCGGCUCUUGGGAGUGCCAAAGCCUCUAAGGCCGAAGCCUACAAGGCCCUCCAGGAAAUCGGGGCGUUGAAGAAAAUAGCGGCAGGUAAGGCAUUUUUCAUGCAAAGCAAGCAUGUGAGUGUGAAUUACCUAUCACUUACCCGAAUUCGGAGCUCUCCAGGAGCGUUCGCAGAUCUGCCCUGCAGCGUGUCCGAUGCUGCCGCUUUCUACAGGGCCAAGGAGGGGAGCUCGACGGAGAAGGUCUUCUGGUCUCAGUAUGCUGAGGCCGGACAUCCGGUGCCCCUUAGCAACCAGCUGAAGCAGCUGGUCGAGCUCCACAAGGUGGCCGAACAGGCCAUGAAGGGCCUCAUAGUUCGGCUGUGGCCCGGGGAGGCCAUGCCUAGGAGCUACUUCGGCCUGGUGCGGCGGCUGGUGGAUGCUUGUCCAUGGGUUGAAUUCAUCAAGCACUCCGCCUGUAUUGAAGGUGCCCGUCGGGCCCUUGCCCGCGCAAAGGUGCAAUGGGGCAAGAUGGAUGCUGAGAAGCUUGUGACGGAUGCGCCACCGCCGAGCAAGGAGUAUCGCACGCCCGAGAUGUAUUAUAAGAGUGUCCUGAAGGGUGCCCGCAUUAUUGCGGGUGAGUGCUCCAAAGAUGUAAUAUUUGAGUAG
rnacentral:rRNA from 1 species